GUCCAUUGACCAGAAAAACCUAGUUUUCCCCCUUUUUGCGCCUCUUAUCCCAAAAUAUUUUGAGCCAUAACCCCCCAAAGUCAAUACUAACUUCCCUUUCAUGGUAUGGAAACUUGUGGUAUAAUUUCAGAGAGAUUCAUACACUUAAACACAAGUUAUUGUUUGAAAACUACAAAAAUGCUUAUUUUGGGCCCCCUUUUUUGC
rnacentral:lncRNA from 1 species